UGGCUCAGUGGCAAAGAACUUGCCUGCUAAGCAGGAGACCCAGGUUCAAUCCCUGG
rnacentral:tRNA from 1 species